rnacentral:rRNA from 1 species
UACGUAGGGGGCAAGCGGUUGUCCGGAAUCAUUGGGCGUAAAGAGCGUGUAGGCGGCCAGAUAAGUCCGCUGUGAAAUCUCGAAGGCUCAACUUCGAGCUGUCGGUGGAAACUGUCUGGCUAGAGUCCGGAAGAGGAGAAUGGAAUUCCUGGUGUAGCGGUGAAAUGCGCAGAUAUCGAGGAAGAACACCCGUGGCGAAGGCGGUCUCUGGGACGGUAGCUGACGCUGGAGACGCGAAAGCGUGGGGAGCGAACAGG